rnacentral:rRNA from 1 species
GGUUAAGUUAGAAAGGGCGCACGGUGGAUGCCUUGACACUAGGAGUCGAUGAAGGACGGGACUAACGCCGAUAUGCUUCGGGGAGCUGUAAGUAAGCUUUGAUCCGAAGAUUUCCGAAUGGGGAAACCCACCAUACGUAAUGGUAUGGUAUCCUUAUCUGAAUACAUAGGGUAAGGAAGACAGACCCAGGGAACUGAAACAUCUAAGUACCUGGAGGAAGAGAAAGCAAAUGCGAUUUCCUGAGUAGCGGCGAGCGAAACGGAACAUAGCCCAAACCAAGAGGCUUGCCUCUUGGGGUUGUAGGACAUUCUAUACGGAGUUACAAAGGAACGAGGUAGACGAAGCGACCUGGAAAGGUCCGUCGUAGAGGGUAACAACCCCGUAGUCGAAACUUCGUUCUCUCUUGAAUGUAUCCUGAGUACGGCGGAACACGUGAAAUUCCGUCGGAAUCUGGGAGGACCAUCUCCCAAGGCUAAAUACUCCCUAGUGAUCGAUAGUGAACCAGUACCGUGAGGGAAAGGUGAAAAGCACCCCGGAAGGGGAGUGAAAGAGAUCCUGAAACCGUGUGCCUACAAAUAGUCAGAGCCCGUUAACGGGUGAUGGCGUGCCUUUUGUAGAAUGAACCGGCGAGUUACGAUCCCGUGCGAGGUUAAGCUGAAGAGGCGGAGCCGCAGCGAAAGCGAGUCUGAAUAGGGCGUUUAGUACGUGGUCGUAGACCCGAAACCAGGUGAUCUACCCAUGUCCAGGGUGAAGUUCAGGUAACACUGAAUGGAGGCCCGAACCCACGCACGUUGAAAAGUGCGGGGAUGAGGUGUGGGUAGCGGAGAAAUUCCAAUCGAACCUGGAGAUAGCUGGUUCUCCCCGAAAUAGCUUUAGGGCUAGCCUUAAGUGUAAGAGUCUUGGAGGUAGAGCACUGAUUGGACUAGGGGUCCUCAUCGGAUUACCGAAUUCAGUCAAACUCCGAAUGCCAAUGACUUAUCCUUAGGAGUCAGACUGCGAGUGAUAAGAUCCGUAGUCAAAAGGGAAACAGCCCAGACCGCCAGCUAAGGUCCCAAAGUGUGUAUUAAGUGGAAAAGGAUGUGGAGUUGCUUAGACAACUAGGAUGUUGGCUUAGAAGCAGCCACCAUUUAAAGAGUGCGUAAUAGCUCACUAGUCGAGUGACUCUGCGCCGAAAAUGUACCGGGGCUAAAUACACCA